UUUAAAAACAGUUAUUUGUGCUUCAAAAAAAUCCUGUAAUUUAAGCAGAAUUCAUGCCAUCGUCACUUUAAUUUUACGUAGGAGCAAAUGAUUGAAACUUUAGAAGAUUAUGUAACCUACCCAGAAUGACUCAUCUGAUAACUUAAUAAUCAACGCUGAACAUUGGAGUGCAGUUGGUUUACUGGGGUUAGUCCAGGUACCAAUUAUCCCCUGGAUUCCUGCUCAGGGUGUGAGCUCACCUAGCACUUUCUCUGCUGAAAAGGGACAGUUCAUUUGAUACAAGCAACCUCAAGUUUUCUACUCUUUGUCCCCAAAUAUCUCCAUAUCUUUAUUCAUUUUUUAUUUUUCUCUCACCUUUCUGUCUCCUCCUUUUUAAUAUCACUACCUGUGAUUUUUGUAACAAACUUUCCCACUCUUUGCUUAUCCUCCUCUUCCUCUUCCUAAAAGCCUUUCUCUAUUUUUCUUUUUCUUUAGUCUAUAAACACAUUCACACACUUCCCAUUAUAAUAAAACCUGAUUGUUUUUCAAAUUGCAGACCCAUUUCUCUUCUUUUUCUCACCAUCUAUUUCUAAAAGAAGGUUAACUUCCCCACAUUUAUUUUUAUCCUGUUACAAACAUAAUAUACAUGCACAAUGAAGAUGAUUUGGACCACACACACACUGUCUGAAAUCCUACCACCCAAGGAUAACCACUAACCUCUGUUAACAUUGUUCUGUCUCCUUCUCUCCUUCUCUCCUUCCUCACCCAUCUCUCUCUUUCUACCCAUUUUUACUUUCUUGAUCUCUCUCAUUUGUCUAAAACAUAUUGUGUAUGUAUAAUCUCAUCUACUUUUGUGCUAUAUAGCUUUUUGAAGGUCAAUUUAAUACUUUAAAAUGUUAUUUAAUUUUUAUAAAAGAAUGCAUGUCUUGAUUCAAAGGUCAAUAAUAGUACAAAGUUUAUAUUAAAAAUAUUUUAAAAACUACAAAACAUAGUUUCUUGCCCCAUUCUUCUCCACCCACAAAUCUUGUAGAUGAACACUUGAAAAGUUUUUAAAUAUCCCUUAGAGCUUUAAUGUUCAUGUUCUAAUUCAUGUGCUAUAUUGUUCAGGGUCCCAGCAGAAAAAGAGAUGAUUAAAGAAGUUUAAUGAAGAGAUGAUUUACAAAGGAGGAAGGAUGGCUCUGCCCAUCCAUCAGUCACCCUCAAAGUGUCCCCUGUGGAUCUGUGAUUGGCUCAUUAAAGAGGAAACCCAAACAGCAUUUUUAAAAGCAAUAAAAGGGGACAGAAGAGGAGCAGCAGAGACUGGAGGAUGGCUGGCAGAGCAGACAAACCAAGCAGGAUAUGCCACUGCUCAUGACUGCCCAAGAUGAAGUUGAGGCCGACAAUCUGAAGAGGCAGGGAGGAAACAGAGCAGGAAGGAAAACCAAGCUGUUUCUAAAACAUCUGGGCAGUUUCGCUUACCCGCGGCUGAUGAUUCUUCAUCCUCUUCAUCUUCAUCGGUGGGAGAUGUCUGGUAAACUCUGGGGUCCACAAAGGGGGUGAAGGAGGCCUUCGUGCUGCUCCCCAUGCCAUACUAAUGGAAAGGCAAGAGGAUUAAGAAGAACAGAUAAGUACUACAGGAAUGAACAAUGCCAAGAAUACUUUGCUUGGGCUUUAGAAUGGUUACAGAUUCUUCAAUCUAUUUAGCUUGUUCACACUCUGACCCUUGGAGUCAAGGUGUGCCUCUCUCUCCAGCUUCUCCCGGUGCUGGCUACUCACUGGCCAUUCUGCCUUUGCAGGGCUCCAUUAAUUGUCAGAUUGCAAGAGUUGCUGGGGGCAACUUAUAUUUUGGACCACAUGGUAAGAUGACCGUGAUGACAGAGCUUCUCUCUCCCUUGAAGUACAAACAAUCGCAUAUUGACCAAAUGGUCUUAAGAAAAGCUGACACAAUAAACUAAGUAAGCAUGCCCACAUAGCAGCAUUUCAUCCUGAACAUCCGGUCCACCAAAGUCUCCCUCUUGGAGCCUUUGGGCCCUUGUAAGCUGACCUGGUGAUGCAGGUGGAUUGGUGUCGGCUCAAGAAGCCUUAAAAUCUUGAAUGCAGGGACAAUUUCAUCCAGGGAUUGAAUAUUUUUCCCUCCCAGAAUGGUCGCUUUAAAAGGAUACUCCUAUUCUCAUGCCUUAUUUAGGGACUUCAUGAAGAUACUAGAUUUGCAGGCAAUGCACAGAGGGCUUGCUUAAAAAAUAAAUCUCGAUAAAGACAUGAAGGCAGACUCGACUAGGGAACAGCGAACUAAAUAUCAGGGCUUCACCUGGUGAAAUUCCAUAUUUCAGCUCUGCCAAAGAAGGUACAAUAACCACUUCCUCAUCUUGUCUGUCAUCUCUAUUCCUUCUACUAUGCUCAAGUCCUCUUAAUAUCACAAACAGACCUGCAUUCAAUAUCAGAAUAUCUCCUUUCAGACAAAUGUCUUUAACUGAGUUUUCACUUUCUAGCUUUAUUUUCAGGUUUCCAUUUAAAAAUAAAAUCAUCUCAGGACCCCGAAACACGUACGGAGGAAACCGCAAAGAUCCAAUUGAUUUUCCCUCCACCUUAUGAAAUUAGAAUGAUUUCACCCUCUACAAGCAUUCCUGAGUGACUACUAAGUGUGAGGCAUUUUGUUGAACAUGGAGGGAUCGGCCAGGAUCAAAGCAGGUAUACUGGUUAACCAUUCUGAUCCUGCUCUACAUGUGUACUGGAAAUGAACAACUAAGCAAGAAUUGGCACAUUGUGACAGCCAGGUUUCCCGCUGUUGGAGUGGAAAUUGACAGCUGCUUUGUGAGACUGGUUGGACCAGUAUGAGGGAUGGAGGACAGCACAGGUCACAGGUGUGAGAUGCAGCAGAAUUCUAGACGUGAGAAACAGGCAGCGGAGACAACAGUGAAGAAGGCAAAUCUCUGCAUGCUAUGCGUGAAAGAGCCCGUAAGUAUUGUCGGAGUUUGGGGAACGAUGAAUGCAGCCUGGGGUCGUUGAGGUGGUGUCAAGAAGGAGACAGGACUUGACUGGGACUUUGAGGAAUAAGCAGGAAGUCUGGGGGAGCGCCUGAGUGAAGACGCAGGGGCUGUGAUUUUUCUGGGGCUAGCUGGUGUAGAGAGGACACCCACCCUGAUGGAGUACUAAGUCUGUGUUAGGGUAGCCUGGAAGAGUGGGUCAUCAGAAGAAAUGGAUGCCUUAUGCAGCAGUGCCUGUAAAGCUUGGUAGAGCACACAGGUCUCCCCUGUGUGCAGGCUUAUGGAUGACUGGGGAGGAGACAUGCAGGCUGACCAGGUGGGAGGCUGCUGCCAUAUUGAUGAUAUAAGGCCUGGGCCCAGGCUGUCAGAGAGGGGCCUGGUCAUUGGCAGAACCAGCUGGCAAGUGCAUGUGUCUCGGAUGGAGCUCAGAGCCUCUUCUGGCAUGAAAUUAAUUGAAUCCCAUGGGUAUUAAAUCCGUGACCUGGGCCUCAUUAGCACAGGCCCUUCUUACUGGAGCGAACCAGCAUGGGUGCUGAUCUUAAUAGGUUGCUAUUUUUGCUGCUGGAGACUGAAAGAAGUAUUUAGUGUCUAUACAAACACACAUAGAAAUAGGGGAAACUUCAAAAUGCUUUUUCUACGUUAUUUUUUUUUUUUGGAAAAUAUAAGUAUUUAAAAAAAUUUUAUU